rnacentral:rRNA from 1 species
UACAGAGGUCUCAAGCGUUGUUCGGAUUCAUUGGGCGUAAAGGGUGCGUAGGUGGCAUGGUAAGUCGGAUGUGAAAUCCCGGGGCUCAACCCCGGAACUGCAUUCGAUACUGCUGAGCUAGAGUACUGGGAGAGGAGAUUGGAAUUUACGGGUGUAGCAGUGAAAUGCGUAGAUAUCGUAAGGAAGACCAGUGGCGAAGGCGAAUCUCUGGACAGUUACUGACACU